AUGAGUUAAGUAUAAACCCCUUUACAAGUAUCAAUUGGAGGGCAGGUCUGGUGCCAGCAGCCGCGGUAAUUCCAGCUCCAAUAGCGUAUAUUAAAGUUGUUGCAGUUAAAAAGCUCGUAGUUGGAUUUCUGUUAAUAAUUUGUAUAAUAUUUUAACGAUAUUAUAUAAUAUUAACAUAAUUCAUAUUACUAUUUGAAUAGUAUAUGAAAUUUUACUUUGAGAAAAUUAGAGUGCUUAAAGCAGGCAUUAGCCUUGAAUACUCCAGCAUGGAAUAAUAUAAAAGAUUUUUAUCUUUUUUAUUGGUUCUAAGAUAAAAAUAAUGAUUAAUAGGGACAGUUGGGGGCAUUUGUAUUUAACAGUCAGAGGUGAAAUUCUUAGAUUUGUUAAAGACAAACUAAUGCGAAAGCAUUUGCCAAGGAUGUUUUCAUUAAUCAAGAACGAAAGUUAGGGGAUCGAAGACGAUCAGAUACCGUCGUAGU
rnacentral:rRNA from 1 species